AUGCGUAUGUUGAGAUGGAUGUGUGGCCACACGAGGAAGUAUCGAGUCCGGAAUGAUGAUAUACGAGAUAGAGUUGGGGUAGCACCAAUUGAGGAGAAGCUUGUCCAACAUCGUCUGAGAUGGUUUGGGCAUAUUCAGCGCAGGCCUCCAGAAGCUCCAGUGCAUAGCGGACGGCUAAAGCGUGCGGAGAAUGUCAAGAGAGGGCGGGGUCGACCGAAUUUGACAUGGGAGGAGUCCGUUAAGAGAGACCUGAAGGAUUGGAGUAUCGACAAAGAGCUAGCUAUGGACAGGGGUGCGUGGAAGCUUGCUAUCCAUGUGCCAGAGCCAUGA
rnacentral:rRNA from 1 species